GACGUAGGGCGCGAGCGUUUGUCCGGAUUUAUUGGGCGUAAAGAGCUCGUAGGCGGCUUGUCGCGUCGGCUGUGAAAACCCGCGGCUCAACUGUGGGCGGGCAGCUGAUACGGGCAGGCUGGAGUUCGGUAGGGGAGACUGGAAUUCCUGGUGUAGCGGUGAAAUGCGCAGAUAUCAGGAGGAACACCGGUGGCGAAAGCGGGUCUCUGGGCCGAUACUGACGCUGGAGGAGCG
rnacentral:rRNA from 1 species